rnacentral:lncRNA from 1 species
GGGUGAGAGAUCCUUUCUCCCUAAGUUGCUUUUGGUCAUGGGGUUUGUUACAGAGGCAGGAAGCAAACUACAACACCACGCUGGAGCAGCAAACGUAACCAUGUGAGCUAUCACGCACCAGCUCCUUCCUUAUUUCUGAUCACCCUGGACUCAGUUAGCCCGGCUUCCCACAGUAAGACUGUGUCUAGACUGUGGGGACAACAGGCUGGGAGCCAGGAAUGGACCUCAAGCCUACGAGAGCAUCCAAGCUGGUGAAUAGUAGGGGUUCUGGCAGGCUGAACUGCGGGGCAUGCAACUGCAGGGGGAUGAUCUUUAUAGCAGUCGAGAGUAUGUCCAGGUUCACACCUGGCCAAGAAAUAAAUUCAAGGCAAUUAGGAUAGAUAAACACAAACAGGAAAAUGAUGUGACAGGCCCCAGAGCUUAAACCCAUAAAGCGAUGGCCCUGGAGAUGUUCUGGUCUCACGGCUUUGCGCUCAUCAGACCACUGAAUUCUCAGGGCAUAUAAAGCAAGUAUGGACAUUUAAGGUGGCCGCUGGGGUUAGAGGGAGACACCAGCAGAGCAGAACAGGGGGACGAGGGACAGGCACACAGUCGGGCAGCUUCAGAGAAAAGAUGAGAUGCGGGGUGCACCUUGUAGCUGUGGCAAGAUGGGCAGGAUGCAGAAAGGGUGGGUGAUUGACAGGCCGAGCACCAAGAGGAGCAGGCUUGCUGUGCUGCGUCUGGGAGCCAAGGCCGCCCCAUUUCACAAAUCCGUUUUCUUGGAUUCCAGCCCUACUACUAUGUUUGGCCUUGGGCUGUUGUCUUGCAAGGGGGGGGGGGGCCAAACUGGGUGGCUAAUGCAAAGCCUGAGAUGAUGGAUGCACGCUCUUGCUGCAUCUGAAGACCCAUGACCUGGAGCCUCACUCUUUAAAGGGAAGCCUGUGAAACAACAGAGAGAAGGCACACCAGGGCUGGGCAGCAGAAAGCACUGGGGGCUCAGAAAGGCACUGAGAAGAUGGAAGCCUAGCUGAUGCAGCCAGGAGAGCAGUGACUGGGGAAGCUCCCAAAUCAUAGCUCAGGGUAACACUGGCCCCGACCCUGCUGUGCCAGGCCCCCUCCCUCACCUCUCAUAGCUCAGGGUAACACUGGCCCUGACCCUGCUGUGCCAGGCCCCCUCCCUCACCUCUCAUAGCUCAGGGU